AGUAUUACUUGUUGACAAAAUUAAAAAGUACGUAAACAUUAUAAUUUACUAUAAGUUGUCAAAAUCAUGUUGUGUGGACAGAGCAAUACAUUUUGAGAUAUGAUUUUACAAUAUUAAAAACAUAAUAUCUAAUCCCAACAAUUGGACGGUUUUUAUGUAAAGGGGCACAAGUCAUAUUUUGACAUUUUUUUUUUAUACAUUAAUUUUGUGUGAAAUUUUAUGCCCGAUCGAAUGGUAGCACUGUCGUGGUCGCACGAUGAUUUGUUAUCACUGUAUAUUGAAAUGCGAUAAGGCACAAGUCUAAAUUAACGAUUUUUUUUUUUAUGCAAAACGGCACAAGUCAUAUUUAAUUUAUAUAAUAUUAUAAUUUUAUUAGUUUAUAUUAGUUUUUAUUAAACAACCAGCUUACACGUUACACGAUGUCUAAAAGGACAUUAAAUUUAUUAUCUCGUGUUACAACUUCAGAAACUAAUGUGACAUAUUCUGCUAAGAGAAAACUUAAUUUUAAUGGACUUCCACAUAAAAAAAUCCAGUUGACCAACUGGAGAAAAAUUUGUGUUCCAUGAUGUCAAAUGGAUGCGUUAUGUAAAAGACCAAAAGAAUACAGUUUUUUACAAGACAUCACUAAAAGAUGAAGCUGUAUUUCUUGAAGUAGAUUUGACACGGAAAAAAAGUAAUGAAAGUAGCUUACCUAUGGCCUAUGACGAAGAACUACCCAUAACAAUUGAAAAAAAAACAGAUCUUAUAUCACUACUACCACUGAUUCCAGAUGUGUUUCAUGACUACUAUAAAAAUUUAAAAACAAAGAAAAAUGUGAACGACCCAAUACUGUCUGAUGACGAGUAACGUUUUUUAUUGUUAUUUGUUAUUAAUAUUAUGAUAUAUUAUUUUAAUUGAUAUUACUUGAUUAUUUUUUAACCAGUACCUAGUCACAAAGAAUGUGUGCAAUAUUAUUAAAAUGUUUAAAUGGAAUUACCUUUUCAAUUAUUUUUUGUUAUUUGUUGUUAAUAUUAUGAUAUAUUUUAAUUGAUAUUACUUUAUUAUUUUUUAACCAGUACCUAGUCACAAAGAAUGUGUGCAAUAUUAUUAAAACUAAGUUUGUUAUCUUUAUUAUUUAAAUACUAAAAUAUACAUUAUUAGUUGUUGUAUGUCUUUAUUUUUUUUUAUUACCUUAUGAUAUUAAUUUAUAUUAAUCAAUAAGCAUUAACAUAUUAAUUAAAUUUAUGAAGUAAAUGAAAAAGGGCACAAGUCAAAAUCUUGUUUUAUUAAAUGUGUAAUAGGGCACAAGUCAGUAUAUGAGAAAGGUCACAAGUCAAUAUUGUAUGUGCAAUUGGUCACAAGUCAUUAAUAAAUGAAAAAUAAUGAAAUUUCUUGUAUACAAGUAGGUUUAAAAAACAUAUAAAAUUAUAAAUAAAGUAGAAACAAAAAAAAAAAUUUAAUUCAGAAAAAAUUAAAAUUUUGGGAAUGUUUUAUGAGUCUCCUGAAAACCAACGAAAAAUGACUUGUGCCCCUUUACAUAAAAACCGUCCAAUUUAGAUCAUAAUAAUUGUUAACAUGAAUAAUAUUUGAGAUUAAUACAUAUUUUAUUGAAUAAGAUUUUUUUUAAAAAAAGUCUAUAAUGUAGUUAAUGUUUAAAUAUAAAUCAUAUACAAGUUGAUUUAGAUAAAUGCAUACAACUUAAGUAAAUUAAUAACAAAGUUUAAAUAAGAAAAAAAUAUAUACACAUACCAGAAGUCACCUAUAUUUGGGCUACUUGUUACACAUAAAGAAAUAA